GGGGCUGUGGCUCAGUGGUAGAGCAUUUGCGUAGCAUGCAGAAGGCCCCAGGUUCAAUCCCUGGUAUCUCCA